UGACUGAGAACCUUCACAGACACACAACACUGUUUAAUACAUUUCUGUUUUUGUUAUUCAGAAUUCAGCCAAGAGUUCCCACCAAGCACCCUCUCCCUGGAGGACCAAUGGAAAGGUCAACGGGACUCCGUCUCCUCUGUCGCUUAGCCCUUCUCCAGCCAGCAACGGAGGAGGAGCGGGAGGAGGAUCCGGAGGUGCACCGGGGUCAUCGGGCAGCGUGGCAAUUCCCCAGCGGAUUCACCACAUGGCUGCCAGUCACGUUAACAUCACAAACAACAUCCUGCGGAGCUACGAACACUGGGAGACGUCUGACAGACUGGCCGCUGAGAGCCAAGAUUUCUUCCAGGAGCUGGACUCUGUGAUGGAGCCGUUGAGUCAGCAGAGCAGCAUGACAGAGCUGGUUCGCUACGUAAGGCAGGGACUGCACUGGCUCCGCAUAGAGGCUCACCUGCUGUGAAGACUGGACUAGAGCCAACAUUAAGAAAAAGAAGAAAUGGGCUGGGAGCUAGAACUCAAGUGAGAUGAGACCCAGAACGAUGCUUCAGUUCCCACUGGGAUCCUUUGAAUGUCUUUACACCAUGCAUGGUAAUAUAAUGGCUUACACCAGGUGGAUUAAUUGGGCUGAAAUCACCUUUAAUUAGGAGUGAACAGUAACUAAGUUUGGGAAUUUCAGCUGUGAACCACAGAAUACAAAUGAUCAUAUUAACAAUUUGGCUGAUGCUGCUUUUUUGGGGGGGAGCAACAGUAUACAAGUGAUUGUAGCUUUAACUCCUGAAGGGAAUGCACAUGUUCCCAACCUCAUCUCCCAGUUUCACUGAGAUGGGUUCAUUCUCCAACAGACAAGUGUGAGGCUGAAUGUAGGGAAAGAGCCUCAACAGAGGCUCACCUCUACCAGCAGUGGACCAGAAAUGUGUCAAUGAUUAGGAAAGAAUUAAAGCUUUAGGCUGAUAUUGAUCCAAGUGGAAGAGUACCAGUCCAAUCUAUUAGUUAGGGACCACACUGGUAAAGAGGCUCAGCUACAACCACUAAUGGAGGCUAAAUUCAUUACACUUCUUUUAUUUCACUCCAUCUUCAGUCUUUAAAGAGGGAUCCUCAACAACCAACCAAAAGCUAGAACCUGCAGUUAUUAGUUAGUACAGAGUUACUUUAUUACAUUUAAAGCCUCAGUCACACUAGAGAAAACAGGACAGCUAUCUGUUUGUGACGGGGAGGAUCACCUGUUGAUCGGUGAUUGCACUGAACUUGUUCCACUUACAGUGAGUCGGUGCAAUCAGCUGGUUGCCCAGAGAUUGAGCAGCACUCAACCUCUGCUUCACCACUUCCAGUUGCAAGGCAGUUGCACAAGUUGACAGGUUGCCUGUCGAGCAGCAACCUGUCUCCAAACAGAGUGCAACUCAGACUGACUGCAGUCGCUCUCAGACAGAUUCGAUUAUUGCAAUCAGUCUGCACAGAUGAGCACAACUUGACAUAUUUGCGACAGGGAACUCGGCUCAAAUGGUUGUUGCAUUCUGCUUAUAUUCCUACAUCAAAGCAAGACUGCCGAGCCCCCACAUCAGGAGCUACGUGACUUUUGCUGGAGGAAUUUCUGAGUUCCUGUUUCCAGUCUAUGAUCUUCUGCAGUUCAUGUCAAUUUGUGUGCCUGUAGACGGCAACAUAUUUGUGACAGAUGGCAACAGAUUUGAUAUUUUCACCGAUUUAUUGCCAUUAAUCCAUGUAUUAUCACAAACAGAUUGCACAUAUUUGCCAGCUUGACCCAGUUCACAAUCGCAAAGUGACUCCCUGUUUUUCACCAUCGUAUUCCACCAAAGUAGGAGACUGAGCAGUCGGACACCUGGUCGCCAUUUUCAGAGCAACCGUUUCAGAGUUUCCCUAGUGUGACUGUAGUGUGACGUGAUGACAUUUCGGUUUAGUAAAAAUAUCUAUUACUCUGGUUUAAUUUGGGAGUAAAGAAGUUAAACUGUUACUCUCAACAAUGGCAAAAUUAACUUAUUGGCAGUUCAGGAAGAACCUUUAUGCCACAUUUAAUUUCUGAAAAGCACACAGUGCAGUUGGGUUUUGUGUUUCUCCUCAGUAUCACACAGACAGUCUAACCCACUCCCACCAGGCAAAGCCCGAGAUUCACACAGUUUAAACAAACGAGCACUAGCAAAAAGGGAAUCCUUCCUAAUGAGAUUUUUGUAUUUAAAUGAGGAUCUUUUGACCAAAUAAAAUUGUAAACUACAUUACAGGUACAAUAGGGCAAAGCUUCAAAAAUAUCUAAAGUCUUGUAGUAUAAGUUGAAGUUUCAGUUUUGUGGGCUACCAGAACAAACAUCCAGUUUGCUGGACCUACAAAUAAGGGCUUUCUUCCAUCACAUAAAGCAUCUGUCUGGUUCUUCUCUUGCUGGUUAUGAGCUUUUGUGAAAUUCCACUCAGUUCUAGUUCCCA